AGAGUUUGAUCCUGGCUCAGAUUGAACGCUGGCGGCAUGCCUAACACAUGCAAGUCGGACGGCAGCGCAGCCGUGGUGACACGGUGGGCGGCGAGUGGCGGACGGGUGAGUAAUGCAUCGGAAUCUGCCCUCAAGUGGGGGAUAACCUGGGGAAACUCAGGCUAAUACCGCAUGGUGCCUUGAGGUGGGAGCCUUGAGGUGAAAGCGGAGGACCGUAAGGCCUCGCGCUUGGGGAUGAGCCGAUGUCCGAUUAGCUAGUUGGUAGGGUAAUGGCCUACCAAGGCGAUGAUCGGUAGCCGGCCUGAGAGGGUGGUCGGCCACACUGGGACUGAGACACGGCCCAGACUCCUACGGGAGGCAACAGUGGGGAAUCUUGGACAAUGGGCGAAAGCCUGAUCCAGCAAUGCCGCGUGUGUGAAGAAGGCCUUCGGGUUGUAAAGCACUUUUCCUGGGGAAGAAAUCGCUGGGGUGAAUAAUCUUAGCGGAUGACGGUACCUGGGGAAUAAGCACCGGCUAACUACGUGCCAGCAGCCGCGGUAAUACGUAGGGUGCGAGCGUUAAUCGGAAUUACUGGGCGUAAAGCGUGCGCAGGCGGAUGCUUAAGCCAGACGUGAAAUCCCUGGGCUUAACCUAGGAAUGGCGUUUGGAACUGGGCAUCUAGAGUGCGGCAGAGGGAGGUGGAAUUCCUGGUGUAGCAGUGAAAUGCGUAGAGAUCACGAGGAACACCGAUGGCGAAGCAGCUCUGGCUGACACUGACGCUCAUGCCCCGAAAGCGUGGGAGCAACAGGAUUAGAAUACCCUGGGUAGUCAGGUCCA
rnacentral:rRNA from 1 species